rnacentral:rRNA from 1 species
UACGUAGGGUGCAAGCGUUAAUCGGAAUUACUGGGCGUAAAGCGUGCGCAGGCGGUUUUGUAAGUCUGUCGUGAAAUCCCCGGGCUCAACCUGGGAAUUGCGAUGGAGACUGCAAGGCUAGAAUCUGGCAGAGGGGGGGUAGAAUUCCACGUGUAGCAGUGAAAUGCGUAGAGAUGUGGAGGAACACCGAUGGCGAAGGCAGCCCCCCUGGGUCAAGAUUGACGCUCAUGCACGAAAGGCG